UACGAAGGACCCGAGCGUUAUCCGGAUUCAUUGGGUUUAAAGGGUGCGUAGGCGGAUUGAUAAGUCAGUGGUGAAAUCCUGCAGCUUAACUGCAGAACUGCCAUUGAUACUGUCGAUCUUGAGUACACUUGAAGUGGGCGGAAUGUGUCAUGUAGCGGUGAAAUGCUUAGAUAUGACACAGAACACCGAUUGCGAAGGCAGCUCACUAAAU
rnacentral:rRNA from 1 species